rnacentral:tRNA from 1 species
CAAAUUAUAGUUUAAUAAAAAUAUUAGUUUUGGAGACUAAUGAUAAUUGAAAGUUUAAUUUGA